UUACGGCCAUAUCCCGUUGAAACACCUGUGCUCGUAAGAUCACCGAAGUUAAGCAACUUUGUGUCUGAUCAGUACUGAGAUGGGUGACCGCUUGGAUAUACCAGGUGUGGUAAG